UAGUAUGUGCCUAGGCUAUGUUGUGCUGUUGCUAUCGAGAUUCCACAUUUGUUGACACCUUUGUUCACAUACCACAGAUGAAGAAAAGUUGACUGGACAUAUAACAGCCUAUCAUUUGUUGAUUUGUAGUCAGUAUAAUAUUCACGAAAAGGCUAGUUCAUUUGUUUUUUUAAGUCAACAAAAACAGAAAAUGAGCAUAGGCUGUCUUGUGUUGGAAACCUGCAGACGUCAGAACUAACUACUUUGGACCUGAAGUUUGCCCAAUGUACCCAGAGUUUCGUCAAUGGCCACUGCGGGAUUUCAUGGAGCCCCCCCCCCAGAUCGCUCACCGCACAGAGGAGCCAGAAACUUCCAGAAGUCAUUUACUAUUUCACACACAACAUGAUAUAAGAAUCUAGAAAAGCAGAAGGAUGGACGGGUGAUAAUAGCUUUUUUUAAUGCAGAACGUUGGCUCAUCUCUUGCGGGCUCCAAAAAGGUCUCAAUAGAGGGAGGGUGUCAUUGUGAUUACCUUGGGACAGAGGAUGGGGUGCGGUCCCUCACCCCCAGGUUCUUUGCUGAGUUUUGAACUCUUGCUCCCUGUUAGAAGAAACACCAGAGAACAUACUUAUUCCUUGUUCCUUCCAAGGAUGUCAGACUUCUGAAAAGGUAAUACAGAGUUGUGGACUCAAGAGUUGUGGACUCAAGUCACACAAUCAAGUUAAUUUGACGGCUUGAGACUUGU